UGGCAAAAAGGAUUGAUAAUCAAGAAGAUAACGAAUUAAUUGUUGCCAUGACAUAAAUCUAUUGGAGAAACCCCAGGAUUUUCGGCCACAAAGACGUUUGUUGCGGGAAACAGUCCAUCGAGCGGCCUUCGGCUAAGCCUUAUCGGUAAUAAUGUAGAUCUUGGCACCUGGAUACACUUCCUCAACGGAGACACCGCAGAAAGCAGUAGCAUAGAGAAGCCUUAAGCUUUCCAGAUGAGUGCUUCCAUCAAAGUACACGUUUAUUGUUUGACAAAUAGUGAAUUAUCUAGUUAAGAAGUUAAUUCGCUCUCAUGGAAAUGUGAGUAACAUUUUCUUGAAGACCAUAACAAGCAAAAGAUCGCCGUACUGCCGGCAGAGCAUUCGUCGUCAUCCAUCGUAUAUCCACAAAUGCUGCUUGUUUUUUACGUGGACAUAACGAGCUCUAAAGUCUUGGAUUGAAAUAGUAAAGUGGCUAAU